GGUUAAGCGACUAAGCGUACACGGUGUCUAGAGCGGCCGCACCGCGG
rnacentral:rRNA from 1 species